UUUCCACUCUCUUCUGUAGAUCUCCCUUCAUUCUCUCCCCCCUUCUCUCUGCAAACCCUAAGGCAUUUCGUUACCACCACCAAACCCUAAAAACUCACCUUAUAUUAGGGAUAAACCACCCUGAUUAAAGGAAAAAUAUCAUAUCGAGGGUUAAUCUUAAUAUUGCUGACAAUAACUUUUUGGAGUCUAAAAGCCCUAAUAUCAGGUCAAACUAUGGGUUAUGUACAAUCAGAGCUUGAUGCUAAGGAAAGAGAAAGCGACCCAGCCUACCACGAAACCUAAAUCUAGGAAUGAAGCUAUGGAGGAGAAAGGGUUUGCUCUUCUUCUGAUUAGCUCAAAUACGGUUCAGGGGUUUAAUUCAUCCGAUUAGCUCAAAAAAAACCCUAGAGAAAUCCAAAACAUCAUCAACAAUAAACCGACAUCUUCUGCUAAAUCUCGCAUACGAAGCUUCGAUGGUUCCCGAUUAUCUCUAUUGAAAACCUCGAUAUGUCCACGUUAUCAUUAUUUGGUGAUGAUGGUUCCCGAUCGCCUGUGAAAUUGAAGCUUCGGGAGAAUCCAUUGGAUGGAUAAGAAGAGGCGAAGACAUGGAUUAAGUAGGGGAAGCUUUGGGGUUUUAAUUUAUGUUCACUUCAUUGGAUGGAUAAGAAGAGGCGAUGCAGAUUUUAUGCGACUCAAGGUAUUGAAACUGCAGGUGUUACAGCUAAGGGAAUGGGUAUGUUGGAGGGAUAACUUACCAGUUCUACAACGUUUAAUGGUUUAUCAUUGCUUAAAACUCAAGAGUAUCCCUUUGUAUGGCGGUGAUUGAGCCACAGUAUACUAUGUCUGGGAAUGUAAAGGUGUUGCUCGGAGUUGGAGAUCGUGUGUUGUUGGUAGAAGAAGAUGGAGUUCAAACUGUUGGUGAUAGAUUAGGAACUCUGCAGAAGAUGGUUAUCUCACAUAAUGGCAAGUUAAUGGUGUCAUUUACUCACGAUGGUCAGCUUCUUGUGAUGCCCACUGACUUCUCAAGCAUCAUCUUUGAGUACAGUUGUGAGCUCCAGAGCAACUUGUUUUGUGUGGAGUGGACAGUGUCUUGCUGUAUUAGGAUGAUAUGCUUCUGAUGGUGGGCCCUUAUGGAGAUCCAGUUUGUUAUCUUUAUGAUGAACCCAUUAUCCUUAUCCCAGAGUGUGAUGAAGCUAGGAUAUUGUCUAACUUAAACAUGGAGUUUCUUCAAUGGGUCCCAGCUUCUACUGAAUCUAUCUUUAAGAUUGGGAGCAUUGAACCAACAACUUUAUUGUAUGAUGCUUUGGAUCAUUUUGACAGGAGGAAUGCAAAGGUUGAUGAAAAUUUGAGGCUGAUAAAAACAUCGUUGCCUGAGGCUGUUGAAGUCUGUGUAGAUGCUGCAAGACAUGAGUUUGAUCAUUUUGACAGGAGGAAUGCAAAGGUAGGGUGUCACGUGCUCCUCACACUCACAACCCACCUUGAAGAAAAUCACGACCUAAAGAUCAUUCAGCUUAUGAGGAGCCUGUUACAUAAAUAUUAGAUGACUGUAUGCAAGAUGUUAUAGUCUACUACCCUUCAAGGGAUGACCAUGAUUCAGUUGCAGUUAUUUAUAGAGAGAUGGCCAUGAUUUAGUUGAGCUUUCUUGGACUACAUGAUAGCAAAUCAAUUUUUAAUAACGCUAAAAGGU